rnacentral:rRNA from 1 species
UAUAUAAAAGUUGCUCCGGUUAAAAAGCUCGUAGUUGGAUCUCAGUUCUAGACUGGUGGUCCACCUCUGGUGGUUACUACCUGGCCUAAACAAUUUGCCGGUUUUCCCUUGGUGCUUUUCACCGAGUGUCUUGGGGGACUGGUACGUUUACUUUGAAGAAACUAGAGUGCUCAAAGCAGGCGUAACGCCCGAAUAAUGUUGCAUGGAAUAAUGGAAUAGGACCUCGGUUCUAUUGUGUUGGUUUUCGGAGCCCGAGGUAAUGAUUAAAAGGGACAGACGGGGGCAUUCGUAUUGCGGCGCUAGAGGUGAAAUUCUUGGA